AACGCGAAGAACCUUACCUACUCUUGACAUCCAGAGAACUUUCCAGAGAUGGAUUGGUGCCUUCGGGAACUCUGGGACAGGUGCUGCAUGGCUGUCGUCAGCUCGUGUUGUGAAAUGUUGGGUUAAGUCCCGCAACGAGCGCAACCCUUAUCCUUUGUUGCCAGCGGUCCGGCCGGGAACUCAAAGGAGACUGCCAGUGAUAAACUGGAGGAAGGUGGGGAUGACGUCAAGUCAUCAUGGCCCUUACGAGUAGGGCUACACACGUGCUACAAUGGCGCAUACAAAGAGAAGCGAACUCGCGAGAGCAAGCGGACCUCAUAAAGUGCGUCGUAGUCCGGAUUGGAGUCUGCAACUCGACUCCAUGAAGUCGGAAUCGCUAGUAAUCGUAGAUCAGAAUGCUACGGUGAAUACGUUCCCGGGCCUUGUACACACCG
rnacentral:rRNA from 1 species